UGUAAGCGUAUACCAAAGUUGUUGCAGUUAAAACGCUCGUAGUCGGAAUUUGGCAGUUCCGGAUGUGUGCACGUCGUGUGCGCACUUCGCGGGGAUUGCUUUUGUGGUCUUGCGUAGGAUGAGGCACUUUUAUUAGUGAACGUCCUCACGCAACCACUUUUUACUGUGAGAAAAUCAGAGUGCUCAAAGCAGGCAUUUGCCGUGAAUGUAUUAGCAUGGAAUAAUAGAAUAGGACUUGGUUCUAUUUUGUUGGUUUGUUGGGACUGAGUAAUGAUUAAGAGGGACAGUUGGGGGCAUUUGUAUUUCGGCGCUAGAGGUAAAAUUCUUAGAUUGCCGAAAGACAAACUGCUGCGAAAGCGUCUGCCAAGGAUGUUUUCAUUGA
rnacentral:rRNA from 1 species